AUUUCUUGGGUGAAGGCUGCUUUCUGAAGUGGAGUGCUUUCUUGCUAGAAACCCUCACCACCACUUGGAUCGCAGCAGAAAGGCAGUUUAAUUCUGACAGAAUGAUGUCUGACAUGAAAGUCCAUCUGAAGCAAAGGUCUGUCGCUGAAUUCCUGUGUGCAGAAAAAAAUGGCACCUGGAGAUAUUCACUGAUACUUGUUGAAUGUUGAUGGAGACCAAACAGUGUAUGUGAGCACAGUGAGGUGGUGGGUGGUGCAUCUCAGCAGUGAUGACAAUGUCAUGAAGGACAAGCCACGUUCUGAAAGGCCAUGAAGAUUUUUACAAGCACAGCAUGCAGUUUUCAGGACUCUGAAAGUUACCUUGUUCCUGCUGUUCUGUACUCCUGGAGCAAGCUGAAAUGUUUUGUUUACAUGAAGAUCAACAAAUAUCAGGUUCUCAGCAGUAAGCACAGUGGCUCUGCCAGAAAGGAAGGAAUACAUCUCAAACAUGGGAAUGUCAGGAAGAAGGAGAGGUAGCCCCUUAAUUCCAUCCUGAAAACAUUUUUGGAGCAACAUGCAGAUCAGCAUGUGUGCAGGAGGUCUGUUGAUAUAGAGUGAGAGAUAAUGUGUUGAAAAAAAUGUAGUGAGAAACUGUAAAUAUUUUCACAAUAAGGAAUCCUGUAAAUAAAAGCAGAUAGGAAAUUUUUGCUUGCACUAAGCCGUAGGGACUACCUGUUCCCUAAAGUCUGGAUGUGGGGCAGUGUCUUAACCAGCAGACAUGGUGGAGACAGGAAAGAAAUGUAAGACAUAUCAGUGAUUGCUGAUUUAGCAUUGAAUAUUAUGAUUUGACCACUUUACCUGCAGCUGUGUUUGGUAAGGUAGAUUAUAGAAUUAUCUAAUAUCUUGAUUUGGAAGACAUCCACAGGGAUCAUCAACUCCUGCCUCCACACAGUACUACGUACAUGAGUAUAUUCUGAGCUGAUAGAUGGUCUAUGUUUUUUUAUGGACUGUAGAGAACACAGAAGGUUUUGGUACCAUACUGAGACAGCUUUGGAGACACUGAGGUUUGACUGAGUCAGCCACGCCGUUCUUGAUGGUUUGGGGAUAGUUACACGAUUUAAUGAGCACUGGGUAUAUACUGCUGCUCACAAUUCUCCCUGAUGCUAAUGUCAUGCCUUGCCUGAAAGUCCCUAUUAGACAUCAUGGCUAUUCACGUGUGUCUUGUUAUUAUGCAGAAAGUGAGAGUGUAGGCUGUUAAGAAAACAUAACUUUUCCAGCUAGCAUAAGCACACACGAUCCUUCAGACAGAAAGGAUAUUCCUAUUUCUCUUGAACUCCAUGUACUUACGAUCUACAGAAUAUUAAAAGCAUCUUUUCCUGCUGAAUUCUGUUCACCAUGACACUCUGUUUCUUGGUGUUUAAUAAGCAGAAUAUGUCUGCCUGCAAAAAUAGGAUUAUUGACUGCAUUGCUAGCUUUGAGCUUCCUGUUGCCCACGUUACAGGUCAGUGUGGUUUUGUUGUUAUCUUUCAAGUAGGAAAUAAUGAUUCUCUAUGUCUAGGUUUCAGAAAAUAUCCUUCCAAUAUAUUAAAUUGUAAUUAUUCCCCCAUCUCCUUCAAAUAUUAUGUUACCAAUACACAGCAGUUUGCAACACUGACUUUUGCAGUCAGUGCAAAAUCUAAGAUAAUAUUUCCAUAGUACAAAAUCUUUUGUUUCUUUAUGCCAUUACAUUUUGUUAAUUUAUUGUACAGAAUUGAAUAUAUAUAUAUAUUUAAUAAUUACAGCAGCUGGAGCAAGGCAGCAAUUAGUUUCACAGUUAAGUUCACAAACCUGGCUAAAAUCCGUAUGUCAAUCAGAUAAGUACAUGAAAUAUUUUAGAUUUUAGGAGUGCCCAGCCACCACUUAUUUUAUCUAGAUGAGGGAGAUAAAAGAUAAUAAAGUUGCAGUGGAGAAUCUCCUUCCUAAUAGAGGAUAUUUUAAGAACUGAAACAUUGUAAUUCGUGGAAUGUUUUUCUAUGCUGACCUUAUUUAGCCAGGAUCCAACCCCAAAUACCAGCUGUGCUAACCUAUUAACACAUCAUUUUGUUUAUGAUGGCUAAUUACCCAGGGGCAGCAUAUGAACAGUUACUUGUGU
ensembl:lncRNA